rnacentral:lncRNA from 1 species
UAGGAAAAUGGGCCCCAAAUACCGUAAGGGGAAAAAAAAUUCCCUUUCUGGUUGUGAACUUUCCCUGUUGGAGAAGUAGCCACACAGGACGUGAAAGAGUCUCAGCAGGGCAAGAAAGUACCAGGGAUGGUUAGGGUGGAGCCAGGGAUCCCUGGAACACUCUGUCUUUGGCAUCAGUGCUCCCAGAAAGUAUAUUUCUGCUUGUAACCUAAAACAAGCCCAAACCAGCUACCUAACUGAAGUCAACUCCGAUCAACUUUCACAGUGCUACCACUACCCCCAGCCUGCCUGACAACAAGAAUUAGCUUGGAAGCUAAACCAAACCAACACCAGAAUCACCAACCCACAUCAUGCGAUCAGUUUGGAAAGCAGGGACUGGACCCUCUCCUAUUUCCCAACAGCCUCACCAAAAUGGAUAGAUUCUUAAAACCCAGCAGAUAUCAGAGUGCCAUUUAAAACCUAAGCACGUUUUUUGGAGCCUAAGGGAACAACUGACUGAAUUCAGUGUCUCAGGAAUUGGGUAUAUGACUGUAAGGUGUGUCAUCCUUUAAAGAUCUGUGUUACUAGUUUUGCAUGAAAGCUUUGUUACAGCUUUGUUAGCGUGCUUGAAUUCAGCCAAUCUUAUUCCUACCCCACCCUUUUUCUCCUCUUUAGAAAUGCCUGACUGAGUUAUUUUGAAGCUACCCUUUAAAUAUACUUUAUGGGAAAGUUGCAUACUCACUAUACACCAUGAUCUCCUUCCUUUGCUUGUUGCAAGUAAACUGGGUUUUUACUCCCAGACUAUUAACUGUGAAUAGCUGACUUUCCCUUGACAUAUAUGACUUAUGAAUGGGACUUCUGGUACUUUCACCACUACUGUUGAAUACUUCUCUCUCCACUCCCAUCCCCACGCCCACCCUCAACUCAUCCAAGCAAUAGUGGAGAUAAACAGAAAUAACCUGAUAUAGACAGACAUGAUAACCUAACUUGAUUUUUAAAAGUUUAGCAUCUUUUAACAACUAGCAACCAAUUUUUAAUCAUUCCACAAGUUCACUGUUCCAGAAGUUUAAAUAUGGAUUAUGAGGAUACAUAUUUUUUGGAGAAUUAGGAAUGAGUAUGAUAAUUGUAAGAUAACUUUGAAACUUGGAAAAUAGAGAUGUCUGAAUUAAGAAGUGAAUAUAUAUUGAUGUUGACUAAGUAUACAAUAAAAUACACAAUUUUCUAUAACCUGUAAGAUAGCUUUAGCCUAUUUCAAUUCAUUUUUCUA